AGAUUGAACGCUGGCGGCACGCCUAACACAUGCAAGUCGAGCGGCAGCGAGAUGGGUAGCAAUACUCAUUGUCGGCGAGCGGCGGACGGGUGAGGAAGACGUAGGAACUUGCCUUUUAGAGGGGGACAACCAAGGGAAACUUUGGCUAAUACCGCGUAAUCUCGAAAGAGGAAAGCUGCCCGCAAGGGUGGCGCUAAAAGAGAGGCCUGCGUCCGAUUAGCUAGUUGGUGAGGUAAAAGCUCACCAAGGCGAUGAUCGGUAACUGGUCUGAGAGGACGACCAGUCACACUGGGACUGAGACACGGCCCAGACUCCUACGGGAGGCAGCAGUGGGAAUAUUGGACAGUGGGGGCAA
rnacentral:rRNA from 1 species